rnacentral:rRNA from 1 species
GAUGAACGCUGGCGGCGUGCCUAAUACAUGCAAGUCGAGCGAACGGACGAGAAGCUUGCUCUUCUGAUGUUAGCGGCGGACGGGUGAGUAACACGUGGAUAACCUACCUAUAAGACUGGGAUAACUUCGGGAAACCGGAGCUAAUACCGGAUAAUAUUUUGAACCGCAUGGUUCAAAAGUGAAAGACGGUUUUGCUGUCACUUAUAGAUGGAUCCGCGCUGCAUUAGCUAGUUGGUAAGGUAACGGCUUACCAAGGCAACGAUGCAUAGCCGACCUGAGAGGGUGAUCGGCCACACUGGAACUGAGACACGGUCCAGACUCCUACGGGAGGCAGCAGUAGGGAAUCUUCCGCAAUGGGCGAAAGCCUGACGGAGCAACGCCGCGUGAGUGAUGAAGGUCUUCGGAUCGUAAAACUCUGUUAUUAGGGAAGAACAUAUGUGUAAGUAACUGUGCACAUCUUGACGGUACCUAAUCAGAAAGCCACGGCUAACUACGUG